CCGUAGGGUGACCUGCGGAGGGAUCAUUACCGAGUUUACAACUCCCAAACCCCUGUGAACAUACCUAUCGUUGCCUCGGCGGUGCCCGCUCCGGCGGCCCGCCAGAGGACCCCAAACUCUUGUUUUAUACAGUAUCUUCUGAGUAACACGAUUAAAUAAAUCAAAACUUUCAACAACGGAUCUCUUGGUUCUGGCAUCGAUGAAGAACGCAGCGAAAUGCGAUAAGUAAUGUGAAUUGCAGAAUUCAGUGAAUCAUCGAAUCUUUGAACGCACAUUGCGCCCGCCAGUAUUCUGGCGGGCAUGCCUGUUCGAGCGUCAUUUCAACCCUCAAGCCCCCGGGCCUGGUGUUGGGGAUCGGCGUGCCCUCGCGGCGCGCCGUCCCCGAAAUCUAGUGGCGGUCUCGCUGUAGCUUCCUCUGCGUAGUAGCACACCUCGCACUGGAAAGCAGCGCGGCCACGCCGUUAAACCCCCCACUUCUGAAAGUUUGACCUCGGAUCAGGUAGGAAUACCCGCUGAACUUAAGCAUAUCAAUAA
rnacentral:rRNA from 1 species